UUGGUCAGACAAGAGAGAGGGGAGUGUGUUUACUCUCUGCCAAGCAGAUGGGACGAGGUGGACGAAGGAACAGUUCCAUCAGGAAUUUGGAUCCGUGGCAGAGAUCCCAAACGUCUGGAAGCGAACAUUUUACAUUGGACGUAGAGAAAUGGAUGUAAUUUUGCCUUGAUGAAAGCAGCUCAAUAUCACGAAUUGGUGAAAGUGAAGUGGACUCAUCUAUGGUAACUUCAGUUUACUAAUUUAUAUUUUUAAAUAAAGUCUUACUAAAAUAUUACUGUUGAAUAUUUGGAUGUUUAGAUAACACUGAUGAUCUUGAUGGUUGUUUGUAGGAUUUCCAACCAAAGAGAUCCAGAAUUUUAGGAAGAUGUACAGACCAAAGUGUAGUGAGGGGCUUAGGUUCAGGCCAGCAUGCUGGGAGAUCAGAAAGCGCUGAUCAAGUUCCCGGUUCAGAAAGAUCACUUUACAUUCAUACAUUCAUUCAUUCAGACAGACA